rnacentral:rRNA from 1 species
GACGAACGCUGGCGGCGUGCUUAACACAUGCAAGUCGAACGGACAGGCCCUGCUUUUGUGGGGUGCUCGAGUGGCGAACUGGGGAGUAACACGUGAGUACCCUGCCCUUCACUUUGGGAUAACUUAAGGAAACUGGGGCUCAUACCGGAUAGGAGCUCCUGCUGCAUGGUGGGGGUUGGAAAGUUUCGGCGGUUGGGGAUGGACUCGCGGCUUAUCAGCUUGUUGGUGGGGUAGUGGCUUACCAAGGCUUUGACGGGUAGCCGGCCUGAGAGGGUGACCGGCCAAAUUGGGACUGGGAUACGGCCCAGACUCCUACGGGAGGCAGCGGAGGAGAAUGUUACACAAUGGGCUGAAGCCUGAUGCAGCAACGCCGCGUGGGGGAAGACGUCCUGCGGGUUGUAAACCGCUUUCGCUUGUGACGAAGCGAUAGUGACGGUAAUGGGAAAAGAAGCACCGGCUAACUACGUG